rnacentral:piRNA from 1 species
GAGCUUAAACCUUGGGUGUGCUGUGC